rnacentral:misc_RNA from 1 species
AGAACGUAGCGAAAUGCGAUACUUGGUGUGAAUUGCAGAAUCCCGUGAACCAUCGAGUUUUUGAACGCAAGUUGCGCCCGAAGCCUUUUGGCCGAGGGCACGUCUGCCUGGGCGUCACGCAUCGCGUCGCCCCCCACAAUUCUCCGUAAAGGGAACGUGUGUUUUGGGGGCGGAUAUUGGUCUCCCGUGCUCAUGGCGUGGUUGGCCGAAAUAGGAGUCCUUUCGAUGGACGCACGAACUAGUGGUGGUCGUAAAAACCCUCGUCUUUUGUUUCGUGCUGUUGCUCGCAAGGUAAACUCUUUAAAAACCCCAAUGUGUCGUCUCUUGACGACGCUUCGACCGCGACCCCAGGUCAGGCGGGACUACCCGCUGAGUUUAAGCAUAUCAAUAAGCGGAGGA